ACGAAGGGGGCUAGCGUUGCUCGGAAUGACUGGGCGUAAAGGGCGCGUAGGCGGCUUGUACAGUCAGAUGUGAAAUUCCUGGGCUCAACCUGGGGACUGCAUUUGAGACGUAUGGGCUUGAGUGAAGAAGAGGGUCGUGGAAUUUCCAGUGUAGAGGUGAAAUUCGUAGAUAUUGGAAAGAACACCGGUGGCGAAGGCGGCGACCUGGUCUUUAACUGACGCUGAGGCGCGAAAGCGUGGGGAGCAAACAGGAUUAGAUACCCUGGUAGUCCACGCUGUAAACGAUGUGUGCUGGAUGUUGGGGAACUUAGUUUCUCAGUGUCGUAGCUAACGCGAUAAGCACACCGCCUGGGGAGUACGGCCGCAAGGUUG
rnacentral:rRNA from 1 species